rnacentral:rRNA from 1 species
UACAGAGGUGGCAAGCGUUGUUCGGAAUUACUGGGCGUAAAGGGCGCGUAGGCGGCUUGGUCAGUCCCGUGUGAAAUCCCUCGGCUCAACUGAGGAACUGCACGGGAAACUGCCUGGCUUGAGUUCGGGAGAGGGAAGCGGAAUUCCGGGUGUAGCGGUGAAAUUCGUAGAUAUUGGGAAGAACACCGGUGGCGAAGGCGGCCAUCUGGACCGCAACUGACGCUGAGGCGCGAAAGCGUGGGGAGCAAACAGGG